AGCGAACGCUGGCGGCAGGCUUAACACAUGCAAGUCGAACGGGCACUUCGGUGCUAGUGGCAGACGGGUGAGUAACACGUGGGAACGUACCUUUCGGUUCGGAAUAAUCCAGGGAAACUUGGACUAAUACCGGAUACGCCCUUCGGGGGAAAGAUUCAUCGCCGAUAGAUCGGCCCGCGUCUGAUUAGCUAGUUGGUGAGGUAAUGGCUCACCAAGGCGACGAUCAGUAGCUGGACUGAGAGGAUGAUCAGCCACAUUGGGACUGAGACGCGGCCCAAACUCCUACGGGAGGCAGCAGUGGGGAAUAUUGGACAAUGGGCGCAAGCCUGAUCCAGCCAUGCCGCGUGAGUGAUGAAGGCCUUAGGGUUGUAAAGCUCUUUUGUCCGGGAAGAUAAUGACUGUACCGGAAGAAUAAGCCCCGGCUAACUUCGUG
rnacentral:rRNA from 1 species